GGGUUUGUGAUUCGGAUUCUGCUAAAACCCUCAAGCAGCCCCAAAUUCAUUGGUCUCUAGUUGGGGCUCCAAAUCCCCGAACGUUACAGGCGAUUGAAGAGAAUGGUUUUGUCGAAUAAGAAGCUAAAGCAGACGCUUAGAGCGGCUAAAGCUGAAUUAUUGGCAGCUUCAGAAGCUCAAAACCAAUCCAUAAACAAAAAUUUCCAGAACCCGGAAUACCCAGAUUUAGGGACCCAAAAAUCUCUCAAUUCCCUUCUUGAGUCAGCAUCCCAGAAGCCCAGAUUGUCAAAGAGAGAAAAACGCAGACAAAAGGCACCUUCUUUGCAAGAAAAUGAAGAGAAAUUGAAUAAAGACGAAGAUGCUGGGUCAGGGGGUAUGGCUGAAUAUGAAAAGAGGAAAAACAAAAGGAAAAGAGAUGAAAAUCAGGAACUGGAAAAUGGGGAGGUGAAGAAGGUGAAAAAAUUGAGCAAAAAGAAGAAAAAGAAGAAGAAGAAAAAGAAGAAAGAGAGGAAGGGGAAAGAAGUGGAGGAGAAUGGAGAGGUGCAGGAGAGCUUGGGAACUGAGGCCGGUGUGAUUGAUGACCAAGAUUUAACACAGAGGCUUGAUUAUGAUAAUAGUGAAGGAAGUUUGGAUGCCGGUACUAAAGUUUAUGUUGGAGGUAUACCAUACUACUCGAGUGAAGAUGAUAUUAGGAGUUAUUUUGAAGGUUGUGGCACCAUAACUGAAAUUGACUGUAUGAAGUUUCCAGAGAGCGGAAAAUUCAGAGGGAUUGCCAUCAUUAGUUUCAAGACUGAAGCUGCAGCAAGGAGAGCAUUGGCCCUUGAUGGGUCUGACAUGGGAGGCCUAUUCCUAAAAAUUCAACCUUACAAAUCUGCUAGAGUUACCAAAACGUCUAACUUUGCUCCUAAAAUUGUGGAGGGGUACAAUAGGAUCUACGUUGGAAAUUUGUCCUGGGAUAUCACUGAAGAUGAAUUGAGGAAAUUUUUUUCAGUCUGCAAUAUUUCGUCCAUCCGUUUUGGUGAAGACAAAGAAACAGGAGAUUUCCGAGGUUAUGCCCAUGUGGAUUUUUCAGAUAGUCUUUCCCUGAACACAGCAUUGAAAUUGGAUCAGAAGAUUGUUUGUGGAAGACCCAUUCGAAUAUCAUGUGCUGUUCCAAAGAAAGGAUCAGAAGAUAAGACAAAACCGUUACCAGAAAAUAAUCAAGCUGUUGGUGAUGGUGCGACUGCUGUUAGCGGGAAGAUUCGGAGGAGGACAUGUUACGAGUGUGGAGAGCGUGGCCACCUUUCAUCUUCUUGCCCAAAGAAGCAAACAGCUGACCAAACGAGUCUUCAAACAAGUUAAUUUUGCGGACUGGCUCUCGAGGUCCAAGGAGCUGGAAGGCAUAAGAUGAUUUUUUUCUGACAUUUUCUUGAAGAAACUCAAGAAUUCGGCAAAAUAAAUCUAGAUCCCCGAACAACUUUCAAAAGCCGGCAACUUUUGAAGGCGCCUAAGGGACUUAUCUACCCAUUCUCAAACCCUCCCACUACCGAUGUGGGAAAGAACCCCCACAGGAGCAAGUCCAGCAGGGCGGCUUCUACUAAGAGUUAACUAACCCCCACCAACCCCGGUAUGACCCCCCCCCCCGGCAUAAGAUGAUUUAGCUUCUGUUUUAUUGCAGUGUAGAAUCUGUCUCGUAUCACACUGAAAUUGGAGUCUGAGAAAGCACAGAGACUCCUCCUCUUAGUCCUCAAAAUAUAAAUUCCUUCCCCAGUUUCACGGGUGGCUUGGCUUUGACUUUGGAAACUGGAAACUGGUAACAAGGGAGCUUAAUUGUUUGUUUGUGAAUUUGGCCCGUGAGUCGGCUUUCUAGUCAUAGGUCCUGAUUCACCACCAUUGUGUUGGAAAUUUUCCCCCGUGAUGUUGGCAUUCUCCCCUACAAUGAACUCCCAGGGGUCAACGGGCUACUACCCAAGAAAUACUCCUGCUUCACGUCGAAUUUCUCCGAGUGAUCUUCUCUUUACUGCCACUGAGCAGCUCACCAGUCUUCGUCCAAAUUCUACCUAGGAUCAUUGGCUACCAAAAGACACAGAUCCGAAAGAGGAUGGAUACUAGCAGCUACUAUAAGACUAGUUCAAUUUUCAGCAGGAAAUCAUGAAUUUUAGCACCGGAUUUGCGGCGGGUAUUAAGACCCAUGGUUUGUUGGUUAGCUACUACAUGUCCCCCAGCCCCCAAAAGGGCCAAAACCCAGCCUUAAGUCUCCGAAAUUA